rnacentral:lncRNA from 1 species
CGAAUAACCCAGGAUCCGUACAUGAUACAGACAUCACCUUGAAGGGGAGAGGAGGAAAGGGGGAGAAGAGGAGAGGAGGUUGGGAGGAGAGGGGAAGAGGAGAGGGGGAGAAGAGGGGAAGAGGAGGAAAGGUGGAGAGGAGGGGAUAGGUGAGAAUGAGAGGAGCAGACAGAGAGAGAAUGAGAGGAGCAGACAGAGAGAGAAUGAGAGGAGCAGACAGAGAGAGAAUGAGAGAGGAGCAGACAGAGAGAGAAUGAGAGGAGCAGACAGAGAGGAGCAGACAGAGAGAGAAUGAGAGAGGAGCAGACAGAGAGAGAAUGAGAGGAGCAGACAGAGAGAGAAUGAGAGGAGCAGACAGAGAGAGAAUGAGAGAGGAGCAGACAGAGAGAGAAUGAGAGGAGCAGACAGAGAGAGAAUGAGAGAGGAGCAGACAGAGAGAGAAUGAGAGGAGCAGACAGAGAGAGAAUGAGAGAGGAGCAGACAGAGAGAGAAUGAGAGAGGAGCAGACAGAGAGAGAAUGAGAGAGGAGCAGACAGAGAGAGAAUGAGAGAGGAGCAGACAGAGAGAGAAUGAGAGGAGCAGACAGAGAGGAGCAGACAGAGAGGAGCAGACAGAGAGAGAAUGAGAGAGGAGCAGACAGAGAGAGAAUGAGAGGAGCAGACAGAGAGAGAAUGAGAGAGGAGCAGACAGAGAGGAGCAGACAGAGAGAGAAUGAGAGGAGCAGACAGAGAGAGAAUGAGAGGAGCAGACAGAGAGAGAAUGAGAGAGGCGCAGACAGAGAGAGAAUGAGAGAGGAGCAGACAGAGAGAGAAUGAGAGAGGAGCAGACAGAGAGAGAAUGAGAGGAGCAGACAGAGAGAGAAUGAGAGAGGAGCAGACAGAGAGAGAAUGAGAGGAGCAGACAGAGAGAGAAUGAGAGGAGCAGACAGAGAGAGAAUGAGAGGAGCAGCCUUCCGUGUGUGUUUGUAUAUGGGUACGUGUUGAGGUGUGUGUGUCUUUCAGUGUGUGUUUCCACAGGCCCUCAGGGGACCCCAGAAUGGACCCUUAGUGCCUCCCUCUAGCUCCAUAGGGAGACAAACGAGGAAGAGAGAGUUUGACAGCACCUAUCUGCCACCAGGAGGACAUGCCUUGAAUUCUUCUUCAAGUUGCUGCUGCCGUCCAGAAGGCUAGCUUACAGAGGGAAAUGAUUCCGCAUGAAGCUGACAGACGGCUCUCCUCCUCUCUCCACGACAACGCCGGGUGUGACUCGGGCUGCUCUCACGGCAACAGCAGGUGUGCCGCUCUCUGCUCUCUGCAGAGCCUGAGCCAGGCGUUGGACAGACGCUGAACUACCCCUUCCCUCCCUCUCUACCUCCUCC